UACGUAGGUGUCGAGCGUUGUCCGGAUUUACUGGGCGUAAAGCGCCCGCAGGCGGCUUGGCAAGUUCGAGGUGAAAUCUCCCGGCUCAACUGGGAGGGUGCCUCGGAAACUGCCAGGCUUGAGGCAGGGAGAGGGAUGUGGAAUUCCCGGUGUAGUGGUGAAAUGCGUAGAUAUCUGGAGGAACACCGGUGGCGAAGGCAGCGUCCUGGACCAACACUGACACUGAUGAGCGAAAGCCAGGGGAGCAAACGGG
rnacentral:rRNA from 1 species